GAUGAACGCUGGCGGCGUGCCUAAUACAUGCAAGUCGAGCGAACAGAUGAGGAGCUUGCUCCUCUGACGUUAGCGGCGGACGGGUGAGUAACACGUGGAUAACCUACCUAUAAGACUGGGAUAACUUCGGGAAACCGGAGCUAAUACCGGAUAAUAUAUUGAACCGCAUGGUUCAAUAGUGAAAGACGGUUUUGCUGUCACUUAUAGAUGGAUCCGCGCCGCAUUAGCUAGUUGGUAAGGUAACGGCUUACCAAGGCAACGAUGCGUAGCCGACCUGAGAGGGUGCUCGGCCACACUGGAACUGAGACACGUUCCAGACUCCUACGGGAGGCAGCAGUAGGGAAUCUUCCGCGAUGGGCGAAAGCCUGACGGAGCAACGCCGCGUGAGGGAUGAAGGUCUUCGGAUCGUAAAACUCUGUUAUUAGGGAAGAACAAAUGUGUAAGUAACUAUGCACGUCUUGACGGUACCUAAUCAGAAAGCCACGGCUAACUACGUG
rnacentral:rRNA from 1 species